ACUAAAAUAGUUAAGAGUAUUUUUACAUGUCUGUCUAGGUAAUAACCUAGACAAUGAGACAAUAGUGAAGAUUGUAAACAUGGUAUGCUUUUCAUACCAUCUAAAUUUUCGGGCAAAAACACUUAUUUUGCUCCUUAAUUGAUAAAACUCAAGGUUAGUGAGACUUUUCCUCUUCUAGUAUAUUUCCACAAAAUAUGAAUGCAUAAAAUCCCCUAAACAUUAUUUGUUUUCAUAAGUUAGAAAUAAAAUCUGCAUAUUGAGAUGGUCUUUUGGCGGCGCCAAAACAGUUUAAGCACGAAUCUGUGACUGAGGUGAGUUCCAGCCGCUGUUGUGCUUAUUUUACCUGUCCCACGAACACAACAGCUGCCUGGCCAACAUUCAGCGACUCAGAGACACAUUACCAAGUAAGCAAGUGGACAUUGCCGCCCUGACAAGCUUUUUAAAGUGUAAAGACGUACUGGGUAUGACAAGCCGCAGCUGAGUGUUUUGGCAUAACAACACAGCGGCGUCCUGGUUCCCUGUAGCUCCCUGGCUCCCUCCCCGUGCACAGUUUGCUCUCUCUCUCUCUCACCAAGAAAACAACAAAAUUUGCUCUGCGGAGACGAGGUUAAUGUGUGUUCAGGAACAUCUGGUGCAUUACGCUGUAUAAAAAUGACUGCUGCGAGGGGAGGCUUGGCUAGCUGACUAACUGAAAUAAGCCUCAAGAUCAAUGCAAACCGCAAGACCUUACACCAUAUAUAAUACAAUGAAGGAUAGGUUUACAGUCACUCCGGCCCCUAGUUACACCGGCCCUCAGUCACUGCGGCCCCCAACCCUAGUCACUCCGGCCUACCACCCUAGUCACUCCGGCCUACCACCCUAGUCACUCCGGCCCACUAAUUAUACUAAGUUAUCUAGAAAGAAUAUAUAGUAACAGGCUCUCUCUUUUAUUAAAUAAUUACGCAGUAUAGUCAUACACAUACACAAUAACUAUGUAAUACUAUGUAACCUUGAAAGAAUAUAUAAUAACAAAAAUAACCAAACAAUGCUCACCACACCCUGACCACAACAUGGGAGCGCUGACUGGCUUUAUCAGGCAGUCUACUGAUACUAAAAUAUUUCUGUAUACAAAAGUAUGUGUCUAAAAGUAAAAAACAAUUCAGGCAGUCUACUGAUACUAAAAUAUUUAUGUAUACAAAAGUAUGCGUCUGAGUAAAAAAAAACAAGAUUAUAUUACAAACUAAACACUGGGUCCGCUUAGCCUGGAACAUGCUUUUAAUAAUUGGUCAGUGGUGAGGUCAUGUUGUUUAUACUUGUUCCAUAGUGAAAAUAUUCGUCCCUGUAGAGAUCGGUAUUUUCGUCUCUGACAACGAGCAAGUUUUCCGUCCUUGACCAGACGCACUUGGACCUGUACAUUUUUGGCUUCUUUGAAAAGUAAGGGAACCAGCACAUAAAAAGGAAUAUGGGAAGAGCCUGCACUACCAUUCAAACGUCUAUGAUAACCUUCUACAUCAUUAUUCGUGCGAAUGCUCUGGCCAAACACUGUCCAUUCACUUGGUGACCAAAACCCACUUAUCCAUGUUUCUCUCAUGUACGUUGUUAAAUCUUUAAUUGAUGUAAUAUGUUCAUGUGGGAGAAAGGGAAGAGCCAUUAACUGUUUUAGGUAAUCUUGAGUGGGACGAUGAUUCAAGUAUGGAACCGCCAAUCCUAACGCCUGAAUCUUCCUCCAGACUGCCUGAUUCCAAUGAAAUGCACAGCCUUGCAACUUUGCAACUGGAAAUAAUUUCCUGACUACUGACCACAAAGCCAUUUCGAAGUCCAUCACGAUCUUUUCCACUUUACACUCCUGAAUUAUUGCUAAAAUAGAAUUCAAUACCUUUC